AUCUUAAUAGCUUAAUUUUUAGAGCAUAUUAGUGAAGUUAAUAAGGAAUAUUAUUUAUUUAAGAUA
rnacentral:tRNA from 1 species